AACCCUAACUCAAAGGUAAACAAAAGAUGAAAACAUUGUCUCCUUUCAUUUUUUAUUGUUUGUCUUGCAAGCGGCCGCCAUGGGUAAGGUUAGGGUUCGAGUUGGGAAGGCGUAUUUCAUUGCCAUAUGAUGCUAUUUUGAUAGCUUGUUGAAGAUUUUUGUAGGGAAGGUGAGGUUUUGGUUACUGGUAGAAGAUCUAGUGUUACCAGCAUAAGAGACUAUCUGUUGGACACUUCCGACAAGUUUGGAUCAAUGGAGUAUGUUUGAUUUUAUGUGCUACAUAUUCUUGGAGCAUGUUUUGGUCAGUUGGUAUUGACUUGGAUGCAUAAAUGGUGUUGGUGCGGCUUCUAGAUGGAUUUCAGGAUGCUGAAGAUGUUCUUUGAUUGUGCUUCAACUGCUUGAAGACAUUGCUUUGGCAUGGUGGACCCAGAAUAGGUGCGGUGCUUAUCUGGGCUAUAAACCGGUAUCAUGUUAACGUGUUCUCUACACAUUACCGAGAUGUUUCGAGAUGUUCUAUGGAUUGGUUAUUGUUGUUUUGGUCUUAAGCCGACAUGGCAUAUCAUUGUAAUAUGGAUUUAUGUAAUGAUCUUAUUGUAAUAUCUUUUAGGUGGCCGACCUAAUUGGUUUAGGCAUUAGGGUUGGUAUAAAAUGAUGUAAGAUCUCAUUGUAGAUCAUGGGAAUGGGGAUUAUGUGCCGUGGUUUUGGAAUGCAAUAUCAUAUGCGAAGGAGAUUUGGUCGAUCAUAGGUGAUCGAAUUGGGAUUAAGGAAGAGGUGAAAGGCCUCCGGUAUUGAGCUUAAUCGAGAUUGUAAUCAAGCAUGGUAGAUGUUAUCUCUGCCAGUUCAUUAUUCUGGAUUGUUGUCCAUUUAUCUUGAGGUGGUUAUAACCUCUCUGUAGUCAGUGAGACUCUUUUUUAAUGAGCAGUAUACUCUAAGCAGUGUGCCUUCCUACAUGUAC